rnacentral:misc_RNA from 1 species
GAACGCACAUUGCGCCCGCCAGCAUUCUGGCGGGCAUGCCUGUUCGAGCGUCAUUUCAACCCUCGACUUCCCUUUGGGGAAAUCGGCGUUGGGGAACGGCAGCAUACCGCCGGCCCCGAAAUGAAGUGGCGGCCCGUCCGCGGCGACCUCUGCGUAGUAAUCCAACUCGCACCGGAACCCCGACGUGGCCACGCCGUAAAACACCCAACUUCUGAACGUUGACCUCGGAUCAGGUAGGAAUACCCGCUGAACUUAAG